rnacentral:rRNA from 1 species
UACGAAGGGAGCUAGCGUUGUUCGGAAUCACUGGGCGUAAAGCGCACGUAGGCGGAUGUGUCAGUCAGGGGUGAAAUCCCGGAGCUCAACUUCGGAACUGCCUUUGAUACAGCACGUCUUGAGUCCGAUAGAGGUGGGUGGAAUUCCUAGUGUAGAGGUGAAAUUCGUAGAUAUUAGGAAGAACACCGGUGGCGAAGGCGGCGUCCUGGACCAACACUGACACUGAGGAGCGAAAGCCAGAGGAGCAAACGGG